rnacentral:tRNA from 1 species
UGACAAAGUGGCUGAGUUUUUAAGCGGUAGAUUGUAAAUCUAUAAACGAAUUUGUGUUCCUUUGUUAA